CAUCUCUCUGAUUUCUCUACAGUCUUUCAGAUGACUGACAAUGACUCAACAACCAUGUCUUCCAUUUCUUUUAGGACCUUGAUAUGAAGUUCAGCUGGGCAUUGCGAUUCCUUAAGAUCAGCUAGGGCUCAUAAAUAACAGCUGUUAGAGAUGAAAAAGAUUUUGUUGGCUUGCCAAGUCCCUCCUCCCAACCUCUCAGAGUCACAGGGCAAGGCAGAGUCCCAAGGCAGAAGACACAUAAUGGAUUAAACUGAUCCUACACUUGAUCAUAGCCAAAAGGAGAAAAAAGGAAAAGCAGAGGACAUCCUAAUUAAAAAAGAAAAUGGAUCAUCUACUAGUAGUGUUAUUAUGAAAUAAAUGUA